CUCAUGUCCAGAGGGAAACACUGCCCAUCAGUGGUGCCAGGCCAGGUCUUUCCUCACCUGUGGACUGAGGGGAAGGGGCUAAGGGUGCCAGAGAGCAAGAGGAAGGAAGGUACAGGAAGCUAACACAGUGGGAGGUCCAGCCCCUGGCUACCUAGGGUGCCUGAAGUUCACCAUCGCUGGAUGCAGGCCUUAAGCAUGUAGGUGAGCCAGUCUAGUUGAAGUAGGAUGAGGCCCUGGCUGUGCCUUGCUGGGCGGCCCUUGGCCUUGUGCUUUCAGGGUGGUGCCUGCUCUGUCCCAGGAGACUCUGACUGGGCCCUGGGCCUCCCUCGGCUGGUCCUGUGGUGCAUCAGCACCUGGGCCCAUUGCUGGGUGGGAUGGGCCUGCCACUAGGGUGGACAGAACAUGGUGGUCUCCCCCACAGUAGUGGAAUCACCUCCUCCCAUGGGGCAUCCAUCCCCAGCAGCUGUCCACACACUGAUGAGUGGGAAUCCAUGCCCAUCGGGCCUUGAAGGCAGGAUGGAUGGACAGCCAAACCGCACCAUCUCUUGUGGCUGGCUCCCUGGCUGUGGGCCCAAGCGGAUCAGCAGUAGGUUUACUGGGACAUGACUGGGCUUUGACUGGCUUAAAGAGCACGGAGUGCUGGCAACCCCACUGUCGGGGGCUCAGGCUCCUAACAGGAGGGGUCUGCCCUGAGGCUUUCAACAAGCACCUCAGUUCCUCACAGGAGCCUGAUGAGGUCCCCUGGGCUUAGUGCAGGUGCCAGCACAACAUCUGGCCCAUCCACGGUGUCACAUAUGGUGGGCUUCCAUCGCCCACCCUCCGCUCCAGGUCUCUGUCCACAGGUUUUCUCCUCUGGGAGAAAAUCCACUGGUUUUCUCGUCUGGGAUUCUCUGUCACUGCAGCCCCUUCCCCUCCCUUUCUCCUUGUCUUAGGUUCUUCCUGGGUGCUCCACCCUGGCCCUCUUCUUUUCCUGCCCCUGUACCUAGACCUGCCCUCAAGUGGGGGACUGAGGAGCAACCCCUUCCUCUCCCUUCCCCAGACCCAGAGCUUGGACCCUUAGCUCCUUGGGGUCGCUGGGGCCUGCUCAGGGCUCCAUCAGCCUUAGGCCAGCCCCAAGAUGCUGAUUGAAGAUGAAGGUGAUAAAGUGUGUGUCACUCGUUUGUCUAGCCUGAUUUAUUAGCAGUGUUUGGAGUAUAAUUAUUCUAUAAUAAAAUAACUAUGAGAGAAUAAUAUCCCAAA